GGGGCCUAUCAUGGAGAGGGGGGAGGGGGGAGGGAUUGCAUUGGGAGUCAUACCUGAUGUAAAUGACAAGUUGAUGGGUGCAGCACACCAACAUGGCACAAGUAUACAUAUGUAACAAACCUGCACGUUAUGCACAUGUACCCUACAACUUAAAGUAUAAUAAUAAUAAAUAAAUAAAUAAAUAAACUGUAAAAAAAAAAAAAAAAAAAAAGAAAAGUCAUUCAGCUUGGAAAGACGUAGUGAAAGAAGAGAUUUGAACUAAAGUCUAAGACUUGGUUUCAGGCACAAAGUGUGAUUACAGAUGAUUAGGAUAUAUGCUCUAAAGAGUUACCUGAGGACAAAACUAAGAGAGGAUCUAAGAGGAAUGACUGAGAAUGAGAAAUGGUAUCUUAAAAGAGCAAUUUGGUAUCAUUUUCUUCCUUGGGUUUGUGUAGGUAAGGCACUACAUUGUUGGUGUGGUAUUUAUCUUUGUUCAUUGCAUUCUUCUCAAAAAGACAAUCAACUGAGUAGUGAUAGGAAACAGAACUCCAGAAGAUUAGCUGUAGCUCAUUAAAAAGUGAAUCAGACUUUUAAUUGAUCUUAAACUGAUGGUUAAUUUUUUCAAACAACAAAAAUAAUUAAAUGCAUUUCCUCAAGUAUUUGUUAGUUUCGUAACAAUCAGGAUACAGACAGUAAAUAGAGCUUGCCCUGAAAUGUGCUGGGAUAUGGCCCUGAAUUAAGACUUUCAACUUAAAAAGAAAAACAAAAAUGUCAGAAAAUUCCCAUAUCAAAGUAAGCAAGCAGAAUGGAGGCACUAAGGAAAACAAAAAGACAAGUGGAAAAUACACCAACGUCUGUUGAAAAGCACUUCCUUUAUUUCCUUUCUUUAAAAUAUAGAAAGUUGGAUGGGACCAAUGUAAAUAAAAAUUAUAUUCCUAUCUGAUAGUGAUUUUUUGUAGUUAAAUAUCAGGCACUUACGCAAAACAUCUUUUGCUUUUUUCCCUCAAGACUAUUACCUCUAACGUCUCCCACAUUUUAAUGAAUUCCAUACCUUCCCAAAUAGUUUUAAUUGUGUUAUAUCAUGUGAUAAUAUUCACAAUAUUCUUAACACUCUUCUAGCUUGACUUCUCUAUACUUUUAACUUGCUUCUUUUGUAUGCUUCUUCAGCUUUAUAUUUGUGGUCAUGACACAGGUAAGAUUAUACAUUAAACUAUGUAAUCUAGAUGCUGAUAGGUGCCAUGAAAAAAAUUAACACAGAGUAAUGGAAUAGACAGUGAAAGAAGGAGAAAGGUGACUAUUCUAUUUUAGAUAGGCUAGUCAGUAACAGCCUCUCAUUGCAGGUAAAUUUUGAGCACAGCACACUCAAUAAAGUAGGGAACAAAUAAUUAGCAAAGACCUGUUGUCUGAACAGAGGGAAUAGCAAAUACAAAGCCUCUGAAGUAGGAACAAUCUUGGAAUGUCUGAGGCAUUAUCAAGGCAGCCAGCAUAACUAGAGUGGUUCAAGAAGGGAGAGAGAAUAAGGAGAUAGAAUUGAAGAUGUGGCAGUGUAGGGCAUUGUAGGUAUGGUAUAGAAUGUGAAUCUUAUUCUGUAUGAGAAAGGCAUUAGAGGUUUAAAGGAGGUUAAGAACAUAAUCUGAUCUAUGUUUUUAAAAGACACUCUGGCAAGAGUAAAAAGAAGUGGACCAACAAGGGAGUUAUUUCAGUGCUCCUGAGAUACAAUAGUGGCCUGUAUGAGAUGGCCUUUAGCACACAUAUAAAAGGAGAUUGCAUUUGGAAUAUAUUUGAGAUAUAUUGACAAGUGAACUUGAUGAUCGAGGAAGUUAAGAAUCAAAGUUGUUGUAGUUGUUGUUGUUGUUGUUGUUUUUUAAAAAAAAAAAUGGAUAAAAUGGGGGUUCCCUUUACUGUGAUGAGGAAGCUUGGGAGUGGAGAAGGCUGAGGGUGUGGAAAAUCAUGGGUUUUGUUCUGGCCAUAUGAAACUGAAAUGCCUUUUGAGUAUCCAUGAGAAGAUGCUGUACAAUGAGUUUGAUACAUGAAUCUAGAGAGAACAGGAAAUAUAAAU
rnacentral:lncRNA from 10 species